UACGUAGGGUGCGAGCGUUGUCCGGAAUUAUUGGGCGUAAAGAGCUCGUAGGCGGUUUGUCGCGUCGACUGUGAAAACCCGAGGCUUAACCUCGGGCCUGCAGUCGAUACGGGCAGACUAGAGUUCGGUAGGGGAGACUGAAAUUCCUGGUGUAGCGGUGAAAUGCGCAGAUAUCAGGAGGAACACCGGUGGCGAAGGCGGGUCUCUGGGCCGAUACUGACGCUGAGGAGCGAAAGCGUGGGGAGCGAACAGG
rnacentral:rRNA from 1 species